AGUUGGACACCGCGCAACGGACGGUCGUGAACCCCGUCAGGUCCGGAAGGAAGCAGCGGUAAGCAAUGCGGUUCGUGUCGCGGAUCGUUCCAGCCACG
rnacentral:SRP_RNA from 1 species